rnacentral:rRNA from 1 species
AUUGAACGCUGGCGGAAUGCUUUACACAUGCAAGUCGAACGGUAGAGGGGGCAACCCCUCGAGAGUGGCGAACGGGUGAGUAAUAUAUCGGAACGUGCCCAGUCGUGGGGGAUAACGUAGCGAAAGUUACGCUAAUACCGCAUACGAUCUAAGGAUGAAAGCGGGGGACUCGCAAGAGCCUCGCCCGAUUGGAGCGGCCGAUAGUCAGAUUGGGUGGUUGGGGGGGUAACGGCUCACCAAGCCAACGACCUGUAGUUGGUCUGAGAGGACGACCAGCCACACUGGAACUGAGACACGGUCCAGACGCCUACGGGAGGCAGCAGUGGGGAAUUUUGGACAAUGGACGCAAGUCUGAUCCAGCCAUUCCGCGUGCAGGAUGAAGGCCCUCGGGUUGUAAACUGCUUUUGUACGGAACGAAAAGGUUUCUAUUAAUACUAGGAGCUCAUGACGGUACCGUAAGAAUAAGCACCGGCUAACUACGUGCCAGCCGCCGCGGUAA